UAGAAGAAGUAGGAGGGACGAGACUAUGAUAGUUAUGAGCCGGGAUAAGCUUGGUACUACCUUUUUGUUUUUUUGUAGUUGAAGAAUAAUCGAUAGUUUCUGAAUAAUGUCAAGUAAAAUUUUGGAAUGAAAAAGAUAUUUAAUAUUUUAUAUGAAGUGUGGAAUUUAUUUUGGAUGAAUACAGUGGACAAUUGGAAGUAAUGGUAAAAAAUAGAUAUGAAUGGAAGAAUUAUAAUACUGAGGUUUGAGAAGGAGUCUUUGGAGUCUAGAUUUGUGUAAAGAAGUGUAG
rnacentral:lncRNA from 1 species